CGAGCCAGGACGUGGCAGUUGACGGCGAUGUUAGGAAGUCCGAAGACGUCGGAAGAGGCCUCGGGAAGAGGUAUCUUUUCUGCUUAACGGCCUGCCAACCCUAGAAACGGUUCAGCCGAAGGUAGGGUCCAGCGGCCGGAAGAGCACCGCACGUCGCGCGGUAUCCGGUGC
rnacentral:rRNA from 1 species